rnacentral:lncRNA from 1 species
UGAAAGCAGGAAGUCAAAGAAGCCAGUCACACAUACAGAAAACAUAUUGUUGGGAGAGAACUUGUGAAGAAGAUGAGAUCAAGAGCAUCUGAACGUGUGGUAUUUGAUUUCCAAUUCUGCCACAAUUGCUCCAUGCUGACUCUCUUCAGUUUACCGUUUGGUUGGAUAGUAAAGAUGAUUGGGAGAAACAUCCUUUGAAAUAAUUUUGUUCGCAUUAAGACUGUUGCUGAGGAUAUCAUUACUUUAUACAUAUCCUCUCUGUGAGGUCUCUCAAGAUAAAUUUGUU